GUGCCAGCAGCCGCGGUAACACGUAGGGUGCGAGCGUUGUCCGGAAUUAUUGGGCGUAAAGAGCUCGUAGGCGGUGUGUCGCGUCGGCCGUGAAAACUUGCAGCUUAACUGUGGGCGUGCGGUCGAUACGGGCAUCACUGGAGUUCGGCAGGGGAGACUGGAAUUCCUGGUGUAGCGGUGAAAUGCGCAGAUAUCAGGAGGAACACCGGUGGCGAAGGCGGGUCUCUGGGCCGAUACUGACGCUGAGGAGCGAAAGCGUGGGGAGCGAACAGGAUUAGAUACCCUGGUAGUCC
rnacentral:rRNA from 1 species